ACCUUCGGGUGGAGCGGCGGACGGGUUAGUAACGCGUGGGAGUAUACCCUUCACUAUGGAAUAGCCUCGGGAAACUGAGAGUAAUACCAUAUACGCCCUUCGGGGGAAAGAUUUAUCGGUGAAGGAUUAGCCCGCGUAAGAUUAGAUAGUUGGUGGGGUAAUGGCCUACCAAGUCUACGAUCUUUAGCUGGUUUUAGAGGAUGAUCAGCAACACUGGGACUGAGACACGGCCCAGACUCCUACGGGAGGCAGCAGUGGGGAAUCUUAGACAAUGGGCGAAAGCCUGAUCUAGCCAUGCCGCGUGAGUGAUGAAGGUCUUAGGAUCGUAAAGCUCUUUCGCUAGGGAUGAUAAUGACAGUACCUAGUAAAGAAGCCCCGGCUAACUCCGUGCCAGCAGCCGCGGUAAUACGGAGGGGGCUAGCGUUGUUCGGAAUUACUGGGCGUAAAGCGUACGUAGGCGGAUCAGAAAGUAUGGGGUGAAAUCCCAGGGCUUAACCCUG
rnacentral:rRNA from 1 species